GUUUUAGUUAUUUGGUUUUAUUCACCAGGACCAAGCUACCCUUAAAUACAUACAGUAUUUUAUGAGAAAAAAGAAGCCUGCUUUCAUCAUUCCAAAUGAAACCUUCGGGCAUUUCAAGUAAUACAUGUUACAGCUUUGAAGAAUAAAGAUAUUGAAUGGUGAGAAUUUAAAAAUAUCGAAGGGACUUUCAGAUGGCAAUUUUAUAAUCUGAAACUUUAAAAAACAAAACUUGGAAACUUAAAAAGCAAAAUUGUAUAAUCUGAGUUGUCUCUUUACACAUUUAUGAAAUUUCGUGGAAAAGCAAAUCUUUAUAUGAAAGGAGAACUUGGAAAUUUUAAAAUAUGAGUUGUUAUUUUGUUUCCCAGAGCUAAUACAGGAACCGUAAACCACAAGUGAAACUGCUGGAUGACACUAAGAGUAGUAAUAAUGUUCAUUUCCUGAUGUCAGAAAGAUGGAAAAAGGAAGUACACACUUCUGCAAUUGAAUUGAACUAAAGCAAUUCAAUGAUGCCGGCUUUGGUUGAAAUGAUGAGUCUGGCCACUAACAGAGUUUCCUUACAAGCAGGCCAUGGCCAAAAGGAGAUCAACAGACAAGAUGCCAAAAUCAUCAGCAGGACCUGCCAUUGGAUUCCUUUGAAUCUUUUCUUGCCGUCUUCAAUCUUAGGCUGCCUUCCUUGCCGGCUUAAUAAAGUUGGUGUGUUAGACAUUUUCAGUUAUUCCGUCAGAUCUACCCUCUGCCUUUCUCUGUCUGCCCUGGGUCCUGCAAGACCCAGCUGUAUGGAUUACAUGAGCGGGCACCCUUAUCUGCUGACUUCUGCCUGGAUUCCACCAGUUGAAAGACCCUUCAGGAAACUGAACAUAGAGAAUGAAACUGAGGAGGAGACUUUGUGGUAAAGAUGUUUUUCUAAGGAAAUUUUUCACCUUGGGGAUGGAUCAACGUUUUG
rnacentral:lncRNA from 1 species